UUUUUUUCGUAGGCUCCAUGCCCAACGUGGGGCUGGAACUCAGGACCCCAAGAUCAAGAAUCAUGCUCCACAGACUAGGGCAGCCAGGUGACCCUGCACUUUGAUUUUUAACACCUUCCAGACUUUUAGGAAAACUGCCGUUUGGAAACAGAGCCUGGCUGUGGCCUGUGGGGGCACCAGGGAAGUUGUUGGCUGAGCUGAGGAUAAACACCAGGGAUUCUAUUCUCAAUUACCAGUGAGCUCAGGCAUCUUUUCAAGUGUUCAUAAGGACCAUUUCCGCAUCAUCUUCUGUGAGUGGAAUCUUCUGUGAGAGUCUGUGGAUAUUUAACGUGUCUUUCUCAGAGCAUCCUAAUUCCAUCCAGUAGUGGCCAUUUAUGUUCUGUUUUAUCAGUCUCCUGUAAAGUCAGAUUCACAGCCUUUGACCUAAAGGAAGCCAACAGGUGGACUCCUCCGGGCCAUGCUGAUUGGUUGAGGACAGGGCUCAUGACCCACGAAGGGUCAGCCAGAGAAAACAAGUCCCCAUUCCUUGAUAUCUUUUCAAGCUAUUGGACAGAGAAACUCUGCCUUCCUCUACAUUUGAUUCAGUGAAGUGGCCAUGUAACACCCAGAGGAGCCAGGAAAUGAAACCCCACAGAGAAGGCAAAGCUGACGAAUGCAGAGAUUCUGAGUCCGGAUGGUAUUAUCUGAGCUGCUGGGUCCAGCCUCGUCCAGAGACAAACUACGCUUGAAUUCCCUGGUGGUGUAUAAAUGAAUACAUUCUUUGUUUCAAUUAUCCUUAUUUUUUGUUGUUGUUUUAAUUAUCAUUAUUUUUAAAGAGGUUAGGACGAGAUGGUUGGGUCUUUCUUUCUUUCUUUCUUUCUUUCUUUCUUUCUUUCUUUCUUUCUU